AACGCUAGCGGCAGGCUUAACACAUGCAAGUCGAGGGGUAACAUUGUGCUUGCACAGAUGACGACCGGCGCACGGGUGCGUAACGCGUAUACAAUCUGCCUUUUGUUAAGGGAUAGCCCAGAGAAAUUUGGAUUAAUACCUUAUAGUAUGUUUAGUUCGCAUGGACCUAACAUUAAAGAUUGCGACAAAAGAUGAGUAUGCGUCCUAUUAGCUAGAUGGAGUGGUAACGGCACCCCAUGGCGACGAUAGGUAGGGGCCCUGAGAGGGGGAUCCCCCACACUGGUACUGAGACACGGACCAGACUCCUACGGGAGGCAGCAGUGAGGAAUAUUGGACAAUGGAGGCAACUCUGAUCCAGCCAUGCCGCGUGCAGGAUGACUGCCCUAUGGGUUGUAAACUGCUUUUAUACAGGAAGAAACACUCCCUCGAGAAGGGAGCUUGACGGUACUGUAAGAAUAAGGAUCGGCUAACUCCGUGCCAGCAGCCGCGGUAAUACGGAGGAUCCAAGCGUUAUCCGGAAUCAUUGGGUUUAAAGGGUCCGUAGGUGGAUAAUUAAGUCAGAGGUGAAAUCCUGCAGCUCAACUGUAGAAUUGCCUUUGAUACUGGUUAUCUUGAGUUAUUAUGAAGUAGUUAGAAUAUGUAGUGUAGCGGUGAAAUGCAUAGAUAUUACAUAGAAUACCAAUUGCGAAGGCAGAUUACUAAUAAUAUACUGACACUGAUGGACGAAAGCGUGGGGAGCGAACAGGAUUAGAUACCCUGGUAGUCCACGCCGUAAACGAUGG
rnacentral:rRNA from 1 species